CCCCCGCCUCCCCCGCCGCCACCGCCGCCCUUCAAGAACGAGUUAACCAGGAACAUGGCUGCGACUCUAGGUUCCUAAAGAGAAAAAAGUGGUUAGGUGGUCGCGAACCCACCCCAACCCAUAAAAAUGAGAAAUUCAGGCAGCUGGACGUGGGGGAGUGAGGCCUCUGGCUGGGCUUAAAGAGUCCGUUCAGAAUGGUGGUCCGGGCUGCUGGGGGAUGGCAGUGCUCGGAUGGGUGCGGUAGGGACUGAUGAUCACAUUUGAAACCCCUUCUGGAUUCAAAGGGUCCUCGUCAGCCUUGAAUGACCCUGGUUUCAUUUCUCAGGCCGGUGCACUUGCAUACUCCCUUUGAUCUCGAACAAAGUGAUUGGGGAGGUGAUUCAGCUAUGGACAAUGUAUACUGUACCCAACAAGCAAGCAGAACCAUUACGCAUUUUCAGGCCGACCCCACCAGGAGCCAAACCAUCAUCUCAUUACCUGACAACCAACAACAACGGUUGACGUCUGCUGACGUCCAGGACUGCAUGUAAUCGCAUUCUGUUCCCAACCUCAGCCCAGUCCAUUUUUCCUAUAUAAUCCUGUCCCCUGCACCUUGCUGUAAUACAGGUUUUGGAUGCCUGUAAGCUCCCUAUCUUCUUGGUUGGCUGGCCUUCUCAAUAAACGCCUUAUAUGAUUCAA